rnacentral:rRNA from 1 species
GUAGGUGGCAAGCGUUGUCCGGAAUUAUUGGGCGUAAAGCGCGCGCAGGCGGUUCUUUAAGUCUGAUGUGAAAGCCCACGGCUCAACCGUGGAGGGUCAUUGGAAACUGGAGAACUUGAGUACAGAAGAGGAGAGCGGAAUUCCACGUGUAGCGGUGAAAUGCGUAGAGAUGUGGAGGAACACCAGUGGCGAAGGCGGCUUUCUGGUCUGUAACUGACGCUGAGGCGCGAAAGCGUGGGGAGCAAACAGGAUUAGAUACCCUGGUAGUCCACGCCGUAAACGAUGAGUGCUAAGUGUUAGGGGGGUUUCCGCCCCCCUUAGUGCUGCAGCUAACGCAUUAAGCACUCCGCCUGGGAGUACGGCCGCAAGGCUG